rnacentral:rRNA from 1 species
CAGCAGCCGCGGUAAUACGUAGGGUGCGAGCGUUAAUCGGAAUUACUGGGCGUAAAGCGUGCGCAGGCGGUUUUGUAAGACAGGCGUGAAAUCCCCGGGCUCAACCUGGGAAUGGCGCUUGUGACUGCAAAGCUAGAGUGCGGCAGAGGGGGAUGGAAUUCCGCGUGUAGCAGUGAAAUGCGUAGAUAUGCGGAGGAACACCGAUGGCGAAGGCAAUCCCCUGGGCCUGCACUGACGCUCAUGCACGAAAGCGUGGGGAGCAAACAGGAUUAGAGACCCCUGUAGUCCCUGUCUCUUAUAC